rnacentral:rRNA from 1 species
UGGGGAAUAUUGCACAAUGGGCGCAAGCCUGAUGCAGCCAUGCCGCGUGUAUGAAGAAGGCCUUCGGGUUGUAAAGUACUUUCAGUCGGGAGGAAGGUGGUAAGGUUAAUAACAUUAUCAAUUGACGUUACCGACAGAAGAAGCACCGGCUAACUCCGUGCCAGCAGCCGCGGUAAUACGGAGGGUGCAAGCGUUAAUCGGAAUUACUGGGCGUAAAGUGCACGCAGGCGGUUGAUUGAGUCAGAUUUGAAAUCCCCGGGCUUAACCCGGGAAUUGCAUCUGAUACUGGUCAGCUAGAGUCUUGUAGAGGGGGGUAGAAUUCCAUGUGUAGCGGUGAAAUGCGUAGAGAUGUGGAGGAAUACCGGUGGCGAAGGCGGCCCCCUGGACAAAGACUGACGCUCAGGUGCGAAAGCGUGGGGAGCAAACAGG